CUCCCCCCCACAGCCAGCCCCCUUCCCCUCCCCCCUUCCCCAGUAGUUCUUUUUCCUCCUGGCCAUCCCCGCUGCACUUCUCCCUUGCACUUUGCACUGGGGGGAAGGGGGAAGAAAAAAAAAGGAGAGAGAGAGAGAGAGAGGCAUGAAGUGCUGAGCUCCCCUCUUCCACUCUUCCAUCCAGCCCCUGAAGCAGCAGCAGCAGAGGCAGCGGCGACAGCGGCAGCGGCAGCGGCAGCGGCAGCAGCAGAAGCAGCGGCGACGACAGCAGCAGCAGCAGCAGCAGCAGCAGAAACAGCGAACAGCGCAGCACUCCCGCCGCCCCCCAGCCCAACCCCCGCGGCCAGUUGUAAACCCCAGAGCGAGUCCUCCCUAUGCAAAAAGGAGCGAAGAGGUGUGGGAAGGGGGCGGCCCAAAGAGAGCAGCCGCGGCGCUCCGGGACGCAUCCCCUGGUGCCGUAGGAAAGCCGAGUCCCGGAGAAGAGAAGAAGGGACAGAGACUGAGACCGAGGCAGAGGGAGAGGGAGACUCGCACACACCCACCCACCUACCCAACCCAGAGGCGCACACACGCACAGAGACACAGACCCACAGACACACACGCGCGCGCACACACACAGAGGCGCGCGGGGGGGGGACGCGCUCGGGCGUGAGCGGGGGCCCCGGCCGGCCGGAGGGGGUGGGGAGCGGGGGCUUGCUGCGGGUGGGCCUGUUGGGCGAGGGGAGCGAGAGGCCGAAGCAGAUCCUUCCCGGCAAGCUGGCUCACCCGCUGGCGACUCAGCACAGUUCGCUGGCUCCCCUUCUUCAGCCCAUCUGGAGGAGCAGCGGCGGCGGCGGCGGCGGCGGCGGCGGCAGGAGAAUGGCAUCAGAGCUGGCAAUGAGUAGCUCCGACCUGCCCACCAGUCCCCUGGCCAUGGAAUAUGUUAAUGACUUCGAUCUGAUGAAGUUUGAAGUGAAAAAGGAGCCGGUGGAGACGGACCGCAUCAUCAGCCAGUGCGGCCGCCUCAUCGCCGGGGGCUCGCUGUCCUCCACGCCGAUGAGCACGCCCUGCAGCUCCGUGCCCCCGUCGCCCAGCUUCUCGGCGCCCAGCCCGGGCUCGGGGAGCGACCAGAAGACUCACCUGGAAGACUACUACUGGAUGACCGGCUAUCCGCAGCAGCUUAACCCGGAGGCGCUGGGCUUCAGCCCGGAGGACGCGGUCGAAGCGCUCAUCAGCAGCAGCCACCAGCUCCAGGGUGGCUUCGAUGGCUACGCCCGGGGCCAGCCGCUGCCCGGCGCCGGGAGCUCCCUGGGCGCCGAGGAGGUGGGUUCGUCCGCCGCCGCGGUGGUGUCGGCCGUAAUCGCGGCGGCAGCGGCGCAGAGCGGGGCGCCCCAUUACCAUCACCACCACCACCACCCCGGGGGCCACCACCACCCGCCGGGCGCCGUGCCCCCUGCAGCCACCGCCGCCUCUGCUGCAGCCGCUGCCGCAGCAGCCGCCGCCGCAGCAGCAGCAGCCGCCUCGGGCCCCGGCUCUUCCAGCUCCAGCUCCAGCUCCUCCAGCACCAGCUCGUCCGGAGGCGGCGGCAGCGGCGGGGGCGGCGGCGGCGGCGGCUCGGCUGCGGGGGCCGGCACCUUGCACCCGCACUCACACCCGCACCCUCACCCGCACGGCAGCCUGCACUUCGACGACCGCUUCUCCGAUGAGCAGCUGGUCACCAUGUCGGUGCGGGAGCUCAACCGGCAGCUCCGGGGGGUCAGCAAGGAGGAGGUGAUCCGGCUGAAACAGAAGAGGAGGACCCUUAAAAACAGAGGCUAUGCCCAGUCGUGCCGCUUCAAGAGGGUCCAGCAGAGGCACGUCCUGGAGUCGGAGAAGAACCAACUCCUGCAGCAAGUCGAGCACCUCAAACAGGAAAUCUCCAGGCUGGUCCGGGAGCGGGACGCCUACAAAGAGAAAUACGAGAAGUUGGUCAGCAGUGGCUUCCGAGAAAACGGCUCGAGCAGCGACAACCCGUCGUCUCCAGAGUUUUUCAUGUAUCCAAGAGACUCCUCCACAUCAGUGAUGUGAGAAUUCCUGUUGCCGAAGUCCAAAAGAAACUGAAACUUCAGGAAAUUACCUUGGCUGAGAAUUCUUCGGUAACUUCCCCAGCAGCCCAGCAUCAAUAUAUCUGGCACUCCCUCAUCCGCUGACUGUCUUAUUUAUGCAAUUGAAUUGAAAAUAAAAAAAAAAAUUCCCAUCUCGCUGGCUGAAAUCUGUCAAAAGGAGGAUCAGCUGAAAGAGGGAUUGUGACUGAGAAGAUAAGUGUCCUGCCCAGAAUGACAAAUAUAGUGUAUAUCAGAGGUGGAUCCUGAACCCAGGUCAGUAAGUCAAUCAGUCACAGAUCGUUAUUAAACACCUACUAUGUGCCAGCUACUGUGCUAAGCACUGAAGCUAUGAAAAAAAAAAACAGCAAAAAUAGUCCCUUCCUCCAAUGAACUCAGAGUAUAAUGAGGAACUCAUCAUCCAAUAAAGAUAUAUUGAUAAUUCAUUAUAUUAUAUAUUAUUGGAUUUAUUAUGUACAUAUAAUAAAGGUUCAUUUUAUAAAAUCUGGCCAGAGCCUUAGAAAUCAAGUAAUGCUCUCUUCUUACAGAUGGGAGAACUGAAAAUGAGGGAAGUGACUCACUCAGGGUCACAAAGUAGGUUAAUGGUAGAGCUAGAACCAGAUUGACAGAAUCACAGAAUUUUAGAGUUGAAGAAGGUUUCAUUGCCAUCUGGUCCAACCCACGCCUGGGAAAACAAACUCCCCUUGACAACAUACCCAGCAAGUGGUCCUCCAUCCUUGGCUUGAAGACCUCCAGGAGUCCUGCCUUCCAGACCAGGGCUUCUUUCCCCACACCAGGCUGGGAUCUGGGAGUUGGGAGAAGAAACAAUGCCAGCUUUUCUGAUUGGGCUCACUCCAGUGCCAUGAGCCUGCUAACCCCUUGGCAAAGCAGCAGAUUGUAUUCCAGAGACAAUAUGCUGAGGCAUCCUUUUAACAAAGGUGCUUUCUGGGCAAAAGCUGACUCCAAACUGUCUGCCUGAGUUAAAAAAAAUGCCCAAAUACCCAUGCUACUGUAAUAAAAAUGGCUCAGGGUUCCAGAAGAGCCAGGAGUGGGGGAGGAACUUGGAAUGUCUUCAGGAUCUAUCUAGCAGGAGAUCAGGAAGUCUAAGGGGCCACCUCUCCCUCUCUCUCAGACAGCAAUACAUUGAAUGCAGAGAAAACCCCUGAGACUUCUCCAGGCUAGAAACCAGGGUGAAAGUUCAAUGACUACAUAUGAUUUUAUAUUAUUAUUAACAACAUAUCAGGGACAGGUAGGUAGCUCAAUGGAUUGAGAGUCAUGCUUAGAGAUGGGAAGUCCUGGAUUCAAAUUUGUUUGCCUCAGUUUCCUCAUCCAUAAAAUGAGCUGGAGCGGGGAAAUGGCCAGUCUCUCUAGUAUCUCUGCCAAGAAGGAAUCAGCCAUGACUGAAAUGACUCAGUAACAACAUCCUGACUUACAUAGCUUAUGAAAGUGAUAAAUUCUUGGGUCCUGCCACAUGGACUUUGGGAGAAGGAACUCAGGAUAGGGACAGGGGUUGGCGUGGCACUGAGUGCUCCAGUGAUCUCUGGAUUUAUGGUAUGGGUGGAGAGAUAUGAUCCAGUGUCAUAAAAUGUCAACUAGGUAGGGACCUUGGAAGUAAUGCAGAAACUGAGCAGAGAGAAGACAAAAGAUUUGCUCCAAGGUCAUUUAGUGAGUGUCAAAGCCUGUAUUCCUACCCAGGACUUCUAAUCCUCAGGCUAGCACUUCAUGCCCUAGAAGCACACUUGCCCAGCAGGACCCACUGGGAUCACCACCAUUACUUUGGUCGACUUCUGGGAGGGCACCUGGAUGCAUGGGUCAGACGAAGAGUGAUAUAAGGAGUCAGCUAGUGGCACAGUACUGUCACCAUCAUGCUAUAGCCAGAGAUAGCUAUUGAUUUAGGGUAGGAGUAAAGCUAGAAGGGUAUGUUGGAAAUGUUCAGCAGUUAACAGCAGAAUGAAGACACAGAAGGGGCAACUGGGUGGUUCAGUGGAUUGAGAGUCAAGACAGGAGGUCCUGGGUUCAAAUCUAGCCUCAGACACUUCCUAGCUGUGUGACCCUGGGCAAAUCACUUAACCCCCAUUGCCUAGCCCUUACUACUCUUCUGCCUUGGAGCCAAUACACAGUAUUGACUCCAAAAUGGAAGGUAAGGGUUUUAAAAAAAAGAAUGAAGACACAGAACUAUUGCUACCAUACAGAGAGGUACAAAAUGUUCUCUCUAGAAUACCCUGAGUUCCCUGAAUCUCUCCAAACCAUUCUAUUGUCAAUAUAAUGGAUAAGGCAUCAGGAGAUUAUAUUUUAUCAUAGACUUUAGGUCUGGGAUGGACUUUCAAUAUCCUAUAACAGAUGUGGAUUAAUUUUAUUUAUUUAUAAGUAUUCAUUUAAAAAUCUAUUAAAUUUAGAUAGCCUAACUCUCUCAUUUUACAGAAAGAGACACUGAGCCAUAAGGAGUGAGACUGCCCUAUGGUUCAUUACUCAGAUAGUAAGUACCAGAAAUUGGAUGAGAAUCCAGAUUGUAGAAUUACAGGUUUAGAGCCAGAAUGGGCCUUAGAGGUCAUCCCCUUCAUUUUAUUUUGUAAUUAAAUUGAUUUUUUUCAACCUUGCCAUUUUACAGAUGAAAAAACUAAGACCUAGAAAAAUAUAACAUACAAGAAGUAAGAAACAGCAAAAUCCAGGGAUUUAUUUAUUUAUUUGAGGGUGACAGGUGGCUUGUUUGUUCUUAUCGUACCACACUGAUUUUCCUAACCUGAAUCUAGGUUUGGUUUUGCCACCUUUCUUGACUUGAUUGCAUGGAACUGUGAGUGUGAUAGCACGACUGUCCUGACUGUGGUCACUGCAGUCACAUAGUUUCCAUCUCUCUGGGCUGCUUUGGUCAUUCCAUUCAGAGUCUGGCUGCUGAAGGUUUGAGGAGAGCUGAGGAGCUGUAAACAUUGACUCAUCAACAUUCCAAAGGGCAAGAGAUAACAGGUACUCUGAAGCCCACCGACUUUAGUCAACAGCCCCAUGGGAAGUUCAAAGUUGUGUGGAACCAGCAUUGGACUUGGAAUCAAAAGACUUGCUCCUAGUCUCUUGCUACUUACUUGCUAGUCAUUCUCGAUAGGCUAGUCCCCAGAUGACAGGCAUGCAACAUGGUCCAUUGCUAGGCUUGCAUCUCAGGGUUUUCCAGCUUGGUAGGACCUGCCAACAAUACCGUUCUGUUGGCAUGGCCUCUGAGAAUGCUGGGUUUUCUCCAUGCCAGAAAAAAAGACACUAGAGAAGCCUUUGGUAGAAAUCUGUUUUAUUAUGGCACUGAUACUAGAGAAAAUAAACCUAAGAUACAUCUUAAUGUACUCAAAAGGAACGCAUCACAUGGGCUGGACCUUGGCAAAUCCUCAGCUGAACUCUGGGAAUUCAGUGGCCCUGGGGCCAUGAUGGAUAUAGUGUCCUUGGCUAUGGACCAGCAGUUGUCAAUGUCUGGUCCACAGACCACUGGGGCUCUUGGAAACCCUUUCAGGGAGCUCAUUAGAUCAAAAUAACCUUCAUAAUAAUAUUAAGACAUUUUAAUUUCUAAUGUAGUAAAUAUUGAUAGAUAUAACCUACAGAAACAAAAGCUCUUUGGGGUCCUCAAUAAUUUUGAAGAGUGUAAAGGGAUCCUGAGGCCAAAAAAAUUUGAGAAUUUCCACCGCAGAUAGAGAAGAGACAAGAUGCUAUUGGUCAUUGCAAAUAGCCCACUGUAAGAUCACUUUUUUUAUUCAGUCCUUCCUGCCAAGUGGACAGAAGUUACAGUUGAAUUUUCCAAAGAUCAUAAAACAGUAGGUUCCAGAUUAGGACAAGCAAAAAGUGAGGGAGUGGGCCAUUGAGUCCAUAUGAGAGACUUCUCCAAUCCAAUAAGGAUUUAUUAAACACCUACUGUAUGCAAAGCAAUAGUCUAGACUUCGGAAACAAAGAUGAAAUCAAAAUUUAAGGAGCUGGUAUCGAACUUGGAGCUCAGCUGGUCUUUGCUGGCUAUGCCCAGGGAGGAAUUCAGAGAGGAAUCCACUUCAAACAAUCUUUCCUGAGAGUACAUUAAAUCUAUAAAAGUCAUAAUGACUUGGAACUAGAAGAACACUUAGAAAUUAGGGAGCCCAAAUUAUCUCAUUUUUAUACAAGAGGAGACAGACUCAGAUCUUACCACUUAUUAGGCAAAUGCCUGUGAGAAAAGAAAGGAGUCUAUUACCACUCUGAACCUCAACUUUCCUCUUUAUAAAAUGGGAACGACAUUAAUUGUACUCCCUUAUCUUGUAGUUCCAUUGUGUGAAAUAUUUUGUGAAGAACCAUGAAAAUAUAUUAUAAUUCACAACAGCCUGAUGUGUAUGACUUGAUUUCAAGUUGAAGGACCCAAGUUAAAAUUGAGGCUGUACUACUUAGUAUCAUUAAGAACUUGAAUCCAUCAAUCAUCCUAUUUGGGCCUCAGUUUCCUCACGUAUUCAAUAAAGUCUUUGGACUCGAUGGUCUCUGGGGAUCCUUUGGCUACAAAUCUAUGAUCCCCACAAGAUUCCUGGCUUGGAGGCAGCUAGAUGGUACAAUGGACAGAGCCCCGAGUAUAGAAUGAAUCAAGUCUCAGACACUUAUCUAUGACAUUGGACAAGACUCUUUACCUGUUUGCUUUAGUUUCCUCAUUUGUAAAAUGAUAAUAUUAAGAAUCCCUAACUUCUAGGGUUGUUGUGAGGAUCAAGUGAGAUAAUAUUUGUGAGGCAUUUAGCACUUACACAUAGUAGCAUUACAUAAAAGUUAGCUAUUAUAAUUAUCAGGCUAGAUCUCUUCCUGAAAGCCCUAACCUAUCAUUUUCAUUUGCCUUUUUUUUUUGGAGGGGUCAAGAUCUAGUAGAAAGGGGUAGUUAGAUGGCACAGUGGAUACAGGAGGACCUGGGUUCAAAAGUGGCUUUAGACCCUUCCUAGCUUUGUCACCCUGGGUAAGUCACUUAACUCCAAUUGCCUAGCCCUUGGCCUUCUGUCUUAGAGCUGUCACUAAGACUGAAAGUAAGGGUUUAAAAAUGAUCUAGUAGGUAUAAGUGGCUAUGGGAAGAAUAUAUUAGGAUACUAGGUCUGGGAGACAAAAACCUUAUACAUAUGAUAAUAAUAAUAACAAUAGUAACAGAUAGAAUAUAUGUAGUUCUUUAAAUUUUACAAAGUGCUUUACAAAUAUUAUCUCAUUUGAUCUUCAUAUCCUGGACAAUUUCUGCUAUUAUUACUCUGUUUUAUAGAUAAAGAAGCUGGGAAAGACAGAGUGACUUACCCAAGGUCACAUAGCUAGAAAGCAUCUGAUACAGGAUUUGAACUCAGAUCUUCUUGACUUCAGGUCUAGUACUUCAAUAGGGUGUGACAUCUGACUUGGCACUUUUCUCACACCAUCUCUCUGAAAUCAGUAGCAUUUCAAUUAUAGUACCCAGUUUAUAGAGAAGGAAACUGAGCCUCCCAAGGGAAGAAGUGAUUUUGUCUAGGCUCGUGCAGUUAGUGAUUUGAAAUCAAGUCUUCUGACUCCUUGUCUAAAUUGCUUUUCCCUAUACCACACUGGCUCUCCAGGAGACUGAUGAAUCUUCCAUUUUUAUCCUACACUGGAAUGUGAGUGAAUUGUUAUAUAAUCCCACUUUCUGGUCUGUUUCAGUGGAUUCUGUUUACCUCAUAUAGGACUACCUAGAGUUAAAAGAAAGGCAACAUCGAUCAGGACCGUUUAUGAAUAAAGACUCUAAACAUCCAGCUUUAGAAAUAUAGAUGAUAUUUAGAAAUAGAUCUGAAAAGACUUAUGUAAUGGGUUUUAAUCAAAUCUUGAAGAGAAAUUGGCCAAUAAAUCAUAUCUCGGGAAGAAAUUGACCAAUAAAUCACAUCUCGAAAUGAAUGUGACAGAUAAAUCGUGUCCCAAAGAGAAAACAACCACUCGAUCAAAUUCAUGAUAUGUUUGUGAAAGCGACUGAUCUCUGUUUCCUGUGACUUCUUUGCAGAACCAAUAUGGUAAGCAAAGGUUUAGAAAAAGAGCAUGAGUGUGUGUGUGUGCAUGCGUGUGUGUGUGUGUGUGUGUGUGUGUGUGUGUGGUGGGAGACAGGUAGGUAUACACACAUAGAGGAAGAAACUUUCUGGAAAGGUAGCCAACAGGCCAACUGAUUAAGCACUCUCUGUUCCAGGCACAGGGCAAAAUUCUGGAGAUUCAAACUACCUUCCUCAUUCUUACAUUCUAAAUAUGUAAAAUAUCAUACCUACAAGAUAUGUACAAUGUAAGUGGAAGAUAAUCUUAUUUGGAAUUCAUUAGCAGUAGUUAGUCAAUAAACAUUUUUUUUUCUAAAAACCCUUACCUUCUCUCUUAGAGUCAAUAUCAAGCAUUGGUUCUGAGGCAGAAGAGUAUAAGGUUGAGUGACUUGACCAGGGUCACCUAGCUGGUCAGAUUUGAAGCCCCAACCUCUGAACUCCAGGUCUGCUUCUCUAUCCAUUGAGCAAACUGGUCAAUAAAUAUUUAAUAAGCACCUACCAUAUGCCAUGAACUGAGCUAAAUUCUGAGAACAUAAAGAAAGGCAAAGGAUAAUCCCUGCCUUAGGGAAUUCACAAUUUAAUGGAAACAGCUAUCUAUAAACAAGUUCUAAGGGAGGCAUCUGGAACCCAGAACACAGAAUUUAGUGACUUGCUAAAAGUCAUACAGAGGAGGCAUUUAAGCUACACUAAGACGUUUAGGGACACACUGUAUAAUUGCAAGGUUUCAAAAUCAGACCUCUAUACCACAAAAAUGGGGGUCUAUUUUUUUUCUAGUACAGGUCUAGAUUUGUGAAUACCUAAGGCUAGGGAAUUCCUGAUGACGGAAAUCCCUUUGCUAAUACAGAUGGUCAAUGAUCUAAAAUAUUUAGUUUUAGAAACUCACCUAAGGCACUAGUAGUACCUCUCAUAGGUAUACAGGUAGUAUUUAUCAGAGGCAGGAUUUGAAGCCAGAUCUUCUUGACACCAAGGAUGGCCCUUCCAUCUCUUUGCCAAAUUAUCUCUCUACAGAGUUAUUCUAUUUCAUACUGAUUUCUGCUAUGUAAUACACAUUGCUUUCAUUUCAAAAAUCUUUUAAAACAUUCAAAGUUGUCCCCAAUGUUAUUGUUCAAUCAUGUCCAACUUUUCAUGACCCUAUGAACCAUAGCUAUCCAUGGCAAGGAUACUGGAGUGGUUUGCCAUUCCUUUCUGUGGUUCUUUUUCAUCAGGCUGUCAGAGGUUAACUUGCCUAAGAAGUGUCUAAAGUCAGAUUUGAACUCAGGUCUUUCUGACUCCAGACUUAACACUAUCCACUGAACCACCUAGCUGCCUACAUAGACCUAGAAGGUAAAAACAAAUGCCUGCUUGAUGAGGUAUCAUUAUUCCCAUUUUAGAAGUGAAGAAAUAGACACUCUUAAGUUAAUGGGUGAUUUGCCCAAGCCAUAUAGUACGUGGCAGAAUCUGAACCUGAUCCCAAGUCCCUUGACUACAAGGUGUAAAAGUUAAAUUAGUUUCUAGUAACAGAAAUAUUAUAUUUUAUGAGGUUUAUUAAAGAUUAUUAGAAAUCAAGGAUAAAGAAAUACAAAAUAAGAAAAGCAUGUGCCUAGGGCUGAUUAUCCUAUUCACAUUUCACUUACUACAUCUUGCAUGCCAAGUAGAAAGAUGCAUGUGCUUAGAAGCAGAAGAAGAGAGAGCUCUUGGGAGGCAGAGAGCCCUUUAAAUACUAAAUUGUGUUCUCGCCCAGGUGGAGACUCAGAUGAGAUUAUAGGGAAUUCUGGGAAGUACCAAAGACUUCUGGGGAUUGAAGUCCAGGGUUCGAAUCUCCAUUUUACAAAGGCUAUUGUCAUUUACAUGAAGAGUAGUAUCUUCCCUUCAUCAUGACUCUCUUGAACAUCUUUGAAAGCAAAGGCCAAUGACAAUAAUAGCAACGACAUAAUUCUAACUACUCCUCUCCACAUCAUUAAUACAUUCUAAGUCAUAUCCUAGAUAUCUGUGUACCUGUAUGGUCUAUUAUAUUAGACUGUGAGUGCAGGGACCACAUCUUACUCAUGACCAUCUCCCUUUGCCCCCCAAGAGCCCUGCACUUAACUGGGGUUCAGUAAAUAUUUGCUGAAUGAAUGAAUAUUGAAUGACACCAGUCUUAACAAUAUUGCCAUUACUUAAAGAUUCAGAAAUUUCAAAUGUGCCGAAGCUUCUGGGUUUUCCUUUAAAUAAUAAUGGUCUCUCUACAUCUUCAGGGCCUUAAGUGACUUUUCCAUAAUAACCCUAUAAGAGAGGGAGAUCAAUCUUUAGCCCUGUUCAAGGAAUGAAGAAACAGAUUCACACUUGCUGAAGGUCACACAGUUAGCAAGUGUCCAAGCUAACAUUAGAAUUUUUGAUUCCUAAUUCCAAUCCAAGUUUCUUUUUGACAUAUGGCGGCCAUCUCUUCUCUACAAGUAUCAGAAAUAAUGUAGACCCUCUUUUCUUUCUCCAUCAAGGUGGCAAAAUAUUGCAUUCCUGUCAAAGAUGAUCACCCUUAGCUGGUCUUUGUUACAGAAUAGGGUCACUUUGGGGGUAUUUCUAUGCCCAAUCUGUGGUAGAGUCCUUCAAGCUCAUAUUGGCCUGAUCGGUCCCAGUCAGAUACACUGUAUGUUGACCUUGAAAUAGUGAUACCAUUUUAGUCUUCUUAGAGUUUAAUGGACAAUCACCACCAUUUUUGUGUGGGAGUAGGAAGGUUGAGGGGGAAGUGUAUGUAUCAAAAAAAAUGACUGAUAUAAAGCGAAAAACACUAGUAAAACUUUUUUUAGAGCAAUACAGACUUAUCCAAGAAAUUUGGAUUGACAGCUCUUGUUUGAAACAUAUUUUCAAGACUGAGACUAUAAAAUUCUAUCCUGGAAAAAAACUCAUCCUUUGCCUCACUGACUUUGAUUUACAUCUCUGUCCCAGAGCCAUGAAAUGUAAAAGAAAAGAACGGAAACUGUUUUAUAAUCAUGUGGGCAUGGAUAGGUAGGCAGGAUGGUUGGGCUGCCUGGUCACCCUGCCCUGGUAAAAUCCAAUCAGCCAACCAAGCAGGUUGAGUGCCAUUCAGCUAAGCCUCGUUAACACUUUAAGGAUGUGAUUAGCAUUUUGUCAGUGCCUUGAGUGCAUACUCACCUUGUUGAGGGCUAAAGAAAGAGCAAAGAUUGCUGUGUCUGCUUUUGUACAAGAAUUGUUGGGCUUCCCUCACUAUCUCUUUCAACUCAGGAUGCAGUGGGCAAUGGAGAAAGAGUAUUGGAGCAAGAGGCAGAUGACCAGGAAUCAUCUCUUGGCUCUGACCUGGACAGCUCUAUGCCUCUAAAUGUCCCUUCCUGACUCUGAUCUUCAGUUUCUUUACCAGUAAAAUGGAGCUAAUGCUAGUGACCAUCUCCCUCAUAGAGCUGUUUUGCCCGCUAUAAUCUUUAAAAGUGUUCUAGAUAUAUGAGUUGCUAUUAUUACACUCUUUAUUAUUAUUGCUCAUUGGAAAAUCACAGAGAUGGGUUAAAAACUAUAAUGAUUAGUCAAAAUUGUAUCUAGAGUUGAUCGGUCAAUCAGCAUUUUUAGGUGGGCAGUGUCUAGAAUUCAGGACCUGAUGUCAAGGAGCCCUGAGUUCAAAUGCAACUUCAGAUACUACUAGCUAUGUAAGUUAGUUAACCUCUGCCUGCCUCAUUUUCCUCAUUUGUGAAGUGGAAAUUAUAUCGAUCUCUAAGUAUUAUUGGGAGGAUCAAAUAAGAAAAUAAUUCAUAAAGUACAAGCCUUAAAAUGCUCUUUAAUUAUUAUUAUCAUCCUAGUACUUACUUGUGGUCCAACUGGAAUAGGAGGAACUUUGUGUGAUUCCAAACCUUGAAUGUUUAUGAAGGACCUUGUACCCAGAGGAACUCUUUCUCUACAGUAACUGGGAUUCUGUCAUUUGGGUGAAUUAAUGUACCUUAUUCUAAAGUGCUUUAGCACUGGUUUCAAGUCAGAUAUGUCCUAACUUUAUGUUUCUAGAAGAUUUGGAUUCCCAUAGGUUUGGAGGUGCAACCCAGUGUGUGUGUAGGUGACAUCCAAAGGAGUUAGAGAAAAUGGUUCUUACUCAGGUUGUGAUCACUGAUAAAGACUGGCUCAGGCUGAGCUCACUUCCUGAGUGAGAGGAGCAGUGGGAUGCCUCCUUCAUCCUGUGCUUUACUGGGUAAGUUUCAUUGGUGUCUGUAAAGUUUUACUGAACUUUGAGGAGAAACGCCCAAGAAAGGAGAGAUUACGCACUCAGGCAAAAAGAAGAAGAUGUAAAUCGAGGCUGGGAAGAUAUAGCUGGAGUAGGAACGAUACUAGGAUUUAGCACUGGGGAGCCUUGGAGGGUCUGAUGGGGACAGCCUUCCCUGUUAUAAUCUGGUGGCAUACCAAAUAUAUUUCUGGAGCCUGAGCAGGGAAUCUGGUCCAUUCCAUCAGUCAUUUAUUAAUAUUGUCAUUAUUACUUUCACCUAGGAAAAUCUUAUUCAUUGUGAAGUUGUUUUGGGUUUGAACAAAUCAAUCAAGAUGCAUUUAUGAAGCACUACUAUAUGGCAUUCUUGGGUCAGCUAGGUGGCACAGUUGAUGAGAGUACCAGUCCUGGAGUCAGAAAGACUUAUCUUCUUGAGCUCAAAUCCAACCUCAGAUAGCUCCUAGCUGUGUUACUCUGGGCAAGUCACUUACUCCUAUUUGCCUCAGUUUCUCAUUUGUAAAAGGAGUUAGAGAAGGAAAUGGCAAAACCCUGACAUGACUGAAUAAUAUGUCAGUCUCAGGGCUUAACAGUGGACAUACACAGCUAGGUUCUACUGUGGGACCCACGUGGGGAACACCACUAUUCAGGGAUAUGUUCCCACUUUGCCUCCAAACCCUGCUAAGAUGGCCUAGAACCCAUUCAGACUGCUUGACUACUUACAAGGCUUCAAUAAAAUGGCAGCCGCCAACCCUAUUCCUUCUAGUGAGAUGAAGGACCACCAGCUCUGCUACUCUUAAGGUCCUCUGGGCUUUACCAGAUGUCCCAACUCUACCUGUUAAAGACACUCAUUAUUUUCAUCUGACCUAUUCAUGUAACCUAAUGACCCCUGACCCUUUGCUUAACCUUUUGGAAUUCUGAACUUGCCAUUCACAUUGUUGUCUCCUUCCAUGAGUUUGAACAUCUGGAGAGCAGGGACUGCAUCCCUUUGUCUGUUUCUAUCUCAACUACUUAUCAUGGCGCUUGGCAACUGGUAGGCACUUAAUAAAUGUUUUUUUUUU